rnacentral:rRNA from 1 species
GAUGAACGCUGGCGGCGUGCUUAACACAUGCAAGUCGAACGGAAAGGCCCUGCUUUUGUGGGGUGCUCGAGUGGCGAACGGGUGAGUAACACGUGAGUAACCUGCCCUUGACUUUGGGAUAACUUCAGGAAACUGGGGCUACUACCGGAUAGGAGAUCCUGCUGCAUGGUGGGGGUUGGAAAGUUUCGGCGGUUGGGGUUGGACUCGCGGCUUAUCAGCUUGUUGGUGGGGUAGUGGCUUACCAAGGGUUUGACGGGUAGCCGGCCUGAGAGGGUGACCGGCCACAUUGGGACUGAGAGACGGCCCAGAGUCCUACGGGAGACAGCAGUGGGGAAUAUUGCACAAUGGGCGGAAGCCUGAUGCAGCAACGCCGCGGUCGGGAUGACGGCCUUCGGGUUGUAAACCGCUUUCGCCUGUGACGAAGCGUGAGUGACGGUAAUGGGUAAAGAAGCACCGGCUAACUACGUG